rnacentral:rRNA from 1 species
UACGUAGGGUGCGAGCGUUGUCCGGAAUUAUUGGGCGUAAAGAGCUCGUAGGCGGUCUGUCGCGUCGGUCGUGAAAACUUGGGGCUUAACCCUGAGCUUGCGGUCGAUACGGGCAUGACUGGAGUUCGGCAGGGGAGACUGGAAUUCCUGGUGUAGCGGUGAAAUGCGCAGAUAUCAGGAGGAACACCGGUGGCGAAGGCGGGUCUCUGGGCCGGUAUUGACGCUGAGGCGCGAAAGCUAGGGGAGCAAACGGG